rnacentral:rRNA from 1 species
UACAGAGGUCCCGAGCGUUGUUCGGAUUCAUUGGGCGUAAAGGGUGCGUAGGCGGCGGGGCAAGUCUGAUGUGAAAUCCUGGGGCUCAACCUCAGAACUGCAUUGGAUACUGCCUUGCUAGAGUACUGGAGAGGGAACUGGAAUUUACGGUGUAGCAGUGAAAUGCGUAGAGAUCGUAAGGAAGACCAGUGGCGAAGGCGGGUCUCUGGACAGUUCCUGACGCUGAGGCACGAAGGUCAGGGGAGCAAACGGG